rnacentral:rRNA from 1 species
ACGCUAGCGGGAGGCCUAACACAUGCAAGCCGAGCGGUAUUUGUUCUUCGGAACAGAGAGAGCGGCGUACGGGUGCGGAACACGUGUGCAACCUGCCUUUAUCUGGGGGAUAGCCUUUCGAAAGGAAGAUUAAUACCCCAUAAUAUAUUUUACGGCAUCGUGGAAUAUUGAAAACUCCGGUGGAUAGAGAUGGGCACGCGCAAGAUUAGAUAGUUGGUGAGGUAACGGCUCACCAAGUCAGUGAUCUUUAGGGGGCCUGAGAGGGUGAUCCCCCACACUGGUACUGGGACACGGACCAGACUCCUACGGGAGGCAGCAGUGAGGAAUAUUGGACAAUGGGUGCAAGCCUGAUCCAGCCAUCCCGCGUGAAGGACUAAGGCCCUAUGGGUUGUAAACUUCUUUUAUACUGGGAUAAACCUACUUACGUGUAAGUAGCUGAAGGUACAGUAUGAAUAAGCACCGGCUAACUCCGUGCCAGCAGCCGCGGUAAUACGGAGGGUGCAAGCGUUAUCCGGAUUUAUUGGGUUUAAAGGGUCCGUAGGCGGAUUCGUAAGUCAGUGGUGAAAUCUCAUAGCUUAACUAUGAAACUGCCAUUGAUACUGCGAGUCUUGAGUGAGAUUGAGGUAGCUGGAAUAAGUAGUGUAGCGGUGAAAUGCAUAGAUAUUACUUAGAACACCAAUUGCGAAGGCAGGUUACCAAGUCUUAACUGACGCUGAGGGACGAAAGCGUGGGGAGCGAAC